AUUUGUCAGCUGUGUGUCGAUUAAAAGAAAGACCUAUUCUAACUUCAAAGAAACGUUUUCCAACAAUCAAUCCUUUCUCUGGUCGACCCUUUCUCCUCCUAUUAUAAUUUCGUUGGAAUGGCGAAUGAGAAAUUUAAUUUAUAGAUGGGUUUUUGUCCUGCGCUCGGGAAUGUGACAAUCCCCCCAAGCCAUAUUACAAUUAUUUGUAGACUUGACCCCACCCGAGUGUGCGUUUGGACCAACUAGUAUUUGGAGUCGGCAGACCAAGAG